AUGACUUUGAAGGUUAAAAAAAAAAUUUUUUUUUGGACUGAAGUGAAAGAGGAGAUAUAAGGAUGGGAAUAUUCAAGGGAGAACAAGUACACUUUAAGAAUAAUCUGGCUGGGGGCCGGGGCAUGGUGGCUCACGAGUGUACUCCUGUAAUCCCAGCACUUUGGGAGGCC